UAAAGAAGGGAGAGAGAGAAAGAAGAAAGGAAAAGGAAGAAGAAGAAGAAAGAAGAAGGAAAAUCGACCAUAGCAUUUCACCGGAGUUGGGUCUUGAUAUUUUAAGCCCGGAUUAAUGAUCAGCUUGCCGGGAUCUUCGAUUUGAGGAUUUGGAAGGAGUGUUGGUGAAGAUCUAGAGUUUUUGCGAGUUCUUGAGCUAAAUGAGUGAGAUUAGGGUUUCAUUGGUGUUCUUGAGAAAAGAGGUUACACUCAUUAUACGUGUACCCACACAUCGGAUCUCUUAUGUACCAGAUGCAAGCAUCGUCUACUUAUACAAGUAAGUGGGGAGUGGACUUUGAUUUAAUUUUAGAAUGUUUAUGCAUCACUUAAUAAGUGUUAGUCUAGUCACGUCAUCAUAUCAUUUGUGUGUAGACUAGACAUCACGUAUGCCAUAUCACGCAUUGUAUGUGUAUUUACAUAAUAUGUUA